rnacentral:rRNA from 1 species
GGCACUCUAGGGAGACUGCCGGUGACAAACCGGAGGAAGGUGGGGACGACGUCAAGUCAUCAUGGCCCUUACGGCCAGGGCUACACACGUGCUACAAUGGUGCAUACAGACGGUUGCCAAGCCGCGAGGUGGAGCUAAUCUGAGAAAGUGCAUCGUAGUCCGGAUUGGAGUCUGCAACUCGACUCCAUGAAGUCGGAAUCGCUAGUAAUCGUGAAUCAGAAUGUCACGGUGAAUACGUUCCCGGGCCUUGUACACACCGCCCGUCACACCAUGGGGGUGGGUUGCUCCAGAAGUGGCUAGCCUAACCUUUGAAGCCUUGAGCUGAUAAGGAGGGCGAUCACCACGGAGUGAUUCAUGACUGGGGUGAAGUCGUAACAAGGUAACCC